GGCCUGGGGACCUACAUUAAGACCAAUGAAUGAUAUAGGCUAGUUGGCAAGUUCAGACUCGGAGCAAUAAGAGCGCAUGCUUAUGAAGUCACACACAGAGCUAGAGAUGUGCAGUCAGCACCAACAGUGGAUCGUAGGGUGCAUACACUGUCUUCAUACCAAAUGAUUUAAUCCAAACUGUCCACUGACAUCCUGGAUGCAUACAUGGAGAUGUCUCACGGGAUGGAUCAUGCAGGUCAGAGUGUACAAUGGCCUCCAAAUAUGCAGAUAAGUAUUGUAACAAAAACUAAAAGGUAUGUGAGUAAAAGUCUUCUAGAUUGAAAAAAAAAAAAGAUACUGAAUCCUGAAUUGAUCGUAACUACUGUACUCACUGUGUGUAUGUCAACUGCAUGUACUGUACAUGCAUGUACAUGAUUUCUGUGUGUUGCACUGCACAGUAGCCUCUAACAUGGCUUCAGUGUUAAUGUCUGAUGCAGCAAGAGUGGAUAAAGGCCCACAUUUUCAGGGGGCCAGAAUUGUCUUUUCGGAUUCCAAAAAUUGGAAAUUUCUUUAUAUGUAACCUUGAAAGGUUAAAGGUUUCACAUAGGUUACAUAACAGUGUGUAACCUUCGGAAUGAUGGAAUGACAUUUUGUACAACGGAAUGACAUUUUUAUACAUUUUACCAUUUAAAUAAAAAACGGUGCCGUGUAAAUUAUGUUUCUACUAGUGAGACAGAAAAGUAAAUGUUAAAAAAAUACACUUGUUCAGUAGUAUUCCAUUACUAACCUCAUUAACAUUCAUAAUCAGAAUGGUAACAGUACCAGUAUUUAAGAGUAAAAUUAAACUGAAAGUGAAACUUAAAUUUUGAGUUAGAAGUAGUAGGCCUACAUUAGUGAUCCCUUUUCUAUUGUACUAAUAAAAAGUAUUUACUCAUCUUUUGGUAUAUCUCAAACCAAAAUUUGAGAAUGAUUUCCUGAUGUCUUGAUAUGUCAUCGUCUUUAAGAUUUGAUGAAUCAACCUCACUAGCACGUUGG